rnacentral:rRNA from 1 species
UACGUAGGGGGCUAGCGUUGUCCGGACUUAUUGGGCGUAAAGAGCGUGUAGGCGGCCAGGUAGGUCUGGUGUGAAAACUCGAGGCUUAACCUCGAGAUGUCAUCGGAAACCAUCUGGCUAGAGUCCGGAAGAGGAGAGUGGAAUUCCCGGUGUAGCGGUGAAAUGCGCAGAUAUCGGGAGGAACACCUGCGGCGAAGGCGGGUUGCUGGGCCGACACUGACGCUGAUGCGCGAAAGCCAGGGGAGCGAACGGG